UUGCUUCUCUCCUUUAAUUUCCUUCCGUUACGCCUAUUAAGAGUAAGCUGCCUUUACUACGAUUUUACUCAGCUCUAGCUUUUCAUCCGUAACUAAGGAAAUCAAUUAGAACCACCGUUAUUCCUUUUGAUACAAACCUGAUUAAUCAAAUCAAUUGUUUAUACGUUAUCAGAAUAAAAGAUAUCCAUUAACAACACAAUUAUUUCUGCAUGCCAAUCCUUGAAAUGUUCGGCUACAUAAACCCCCAAAAAUGUUACUUCGCAAAAGUUCUCAGUGCUUACCAAUCUCCUUUUUCUCUAUAAAGAUUCAUGUUCAUAUGUGUAGAACCAUACACCUUUUGAUUGUGUCAAACAUGACUUUAUCCUCCACCUUAUCCGGGAACCCUGCACACACUAACGUUGGUCUCAGCUAUCGGAUUCUGUUAAUGGAUGGUUAAAUGGAUGUACAACGCUGGCUUUCACAGAUUAGAGCUGCUACCUGCGACAAUCCGAAUAGGGACCUAUGGUGUGCUAAAUGUGAAUCUAAAGUGGAACCUCACGUACACCAGUAAUCCCAAUAAUUGUAAACAACAACUUAGUUAUAGGCGUCAAUGGGUUCAGAAGAAACUGGAAUGCGGCCUCUCAUGAGUGAUUCUUUUUGCACCAAGAAGAGGAAGGCAUGAUUCUCACCUGAAAAGACAGAUCAUAAAAGUAAUUCUAAAUUCUUAAUGGUGCAUUGCGAAUGUUUUGAUUGCUGAUAUUUAGCAUGGAAACAAACCCCCUGUUGGAAUAUAUGCGGUUUCAGAGAUUUUCUCUAAUUUGUCUGUCUCUCAUAAUGGUGCAUUUAAUUGUUGCAUCGAUGAGGCUUCAGGUCAGAAAAACACCAUGGAAAUUCCCAUGGCAUGCUAUAUAAAGCCACUUAAAAUCC